GCUCGUGUAAGGCUCUGAAAAAGAGUUACAUUCAUGGCUUAUCAUCUAGAAGGUAAACUUACAGAUUCUAAAUCAGGAAUUUCAACUGUAGUUGCCCCAUAUAGUCUGACAAGAAUUGUUGACGCAUAAACAACAGUAUUAUCUGCCGUACACUGGUUCACUACAAACUCAUUAAGAUAUACAAUCAGAUGAUAAUUGUUCCUUCUCAUAAUGCAUCGCGGGCAGCUAUUCGGCAUGUAAUGGCAUCUGCAAGAGUGGAUAUCCCUGCUUCCAGACCAGAAAUUUUGUAGUGCUUUUGUAUUUGAGCUUGGUUUGCUCUUCCCUCCAAUUCUUCCAAAUCGAUUUCUUUUCCAUUGAUGAGUUUCUCUACAGCUUUCAUCUCAUCUAAAGAAGCAUUGAAACGAGCUGCAAGGAUGUAUGUAGAGGUUUCAGAGAUUCCACAUCUUUUCAAAGAUUCUGUAAUAUGUUUGGAUCCUGAGUAAUUAUAAACAAGUUCAG
rnacentral:misc_RNA from 1 species